GAAUAUUUCAACUUUGAUAUUCCCAACUCUUCCGCUCAUCCUCCAUCAUCUCUCUAGAUACAGUGCAUCUCAAGUCCCGAACUCCCUGAAAAUAUCUUCGUUUAUCGAACCCAGCUUAGGGGGAAAUUGGACGUCAAUCAACAAGCUUAACUGCGCCUCAACUCCACUGUCUUAUCAGUCCUAAAGAACACACCGCUUGGGUUGGACGAGAUGCACGCAUCCCUCUGGGCAGUUCUUCUCGCAGCAAUUUUGGUGCUCCAAUCAACUUGCAGAGCCGCACCUCACCUGCCAACGGAGCAUCGCCACGGUGCAGAAUUCGGCCAUCGCGUGCCAAGGAACAUAGUCGAUGGCCAAAGUUUCUUGACCGAAUUUUCGAAAAAGGAGUUCUCUGAAGCUGAAGCCCAUUGCAAAGAGAAAGGUCACUUUGCAACUUUCAAUAGAGCAGCUCAACGAUACAUGUGUAUCAUACUACAAUUAUAAAAACCAUUUAAGGUAAUGCAUUUAAUUCACAUGUUGUGGGCCUUGUUGGUUAUUAUAUCCAAAUGUAACUUACGAGUUAAUUAAAUAAAAUGUUAAUUUAUUACAAUUCAAGUUAA